rnacentral:sRNA from 1 species
CAACACUUUAGGGUUCCGCUUAGCGUGC